rnacentral:rRNA from 1 species
UACGUAGGGGGCAAGCGUUGUCCGGAAUCAUUGGGCGUAAAGAGCGUGUAGGCGGCCCGGUAAGUCCGCUGUGAAAGUCCAGGGCUCAACCCUGGGAUGCCGGUGGAUACUGUCGGGCUCGAGUCCGGAAGAGGAGUGUGGAAUUCCUGGUGUAGCGGUGAAAUGCGCAGAUAUCAGGAGGAACACCAAUGGCGAAGGCAGCCUUCUGGGCCAACACUGACGCUCAUGCACGAAAGCGUGGGGAGCAAACAGG